UCUGGGAAGAGUGUGCACAAUCAAAGGAUUGAGCGACUGUACAGAGAUCUGUGGACGGCUGUAACGUGCAUCUAUUAUGGCGUGCUACACUACCUUAAAGAAGAGGGCUACCUGGACAUUUCAAAUGAAGCACAUCUCUUCUGUUGCCAUUAUGUAUUCCUGCCAUGUCUGCAGGAUGAUCUGGAUACUUUGCGCAGUGGCUGGGACAAUCACCUACUUCGAACUGAAGCAACAUGACUCCUAACCAGCUCUGGGUUCUUGGUCGUACAUAUCAUCCAAUUCCUGAACCCCAUGGUGCCUUGACAGAGGGUGUACAGAUUCCCGAAAUUGAAUGGGAGGACAGAGGGCUUCCUAUUCACGAGGAGUCAAAUGUCACAGUACCAAACUCUAAUUUGCAACUGACUGACGAACAAAUGGCAGCCUUAAGAAAUGCAGUAAACCCAAAAGCCACAUCACUGUCUUCUGGAUGUGACAUUUAUAUUGCUGCAGUUCAGUUUUGCAAGCAGUUUUUUACUAUGUGAAAGUUUUCUAGUUUACGGAAGCCUAUUGCUAUCACGCAGGGAAAAAAAUUCGAGAGCUAUCACAUUGAGAGCUCUCGACGUGAUAGCUAUCUUGUUAAAACGUGAUACGUAUGAUAAUUUUAUGUCCAGGAAGUGGCAGUAUUAUGCUAGACUAGUACAGUGAUUAACUGGAAUUGGUCAAGUUUUCCUUCAUAUUUAGCCUGAAACAUUGAGAGAUACAGAUGCUGCUGUGCACUGUGGUUGAAACCAUUAAUAGCAAGCACACUCUGAGCAGGAUCCUUACCAGAUCGGGACUGCACAGAAGGAAACGUCAGUCCGAUCCUCUAGCUGUGGCGGCGAUCCUAACUGACUCUGGAUCGAAGCUGAAGUUGGCCUCCGAUUGUAG